UACGGAGGGUGCGAGCGUUGUCCGGAAUCACUGGGCGUAAAGGGCGCGUAGGCGGCUUCUCAAGCGUGUGGUGAAAGUCCGGGGCUCAACCCCGGAUCGGCCGUGCGGACUGGGGAGCUCGAGUUCUGUAGAGGCGGGUGGAAUUCCUGGUGUAGCGGUGAAAUGCGUAGAUAUCAGGAGGAACACCUGUGGCGAAAGCGGCGCACUGGACCACAACUGACGCUGAGGCGCGAAAGCUAGGGGAGCAAACAGG
rnacentral:rRNA from 1 species